ACCACCUUCCUCCAGCGGCUCUCUGAGUUUGAAUGGAGGACUUCCAACUAGGUGGUGAUAAAGACUACGCUGAACCCGACCAUCCUGGUAAUGGAAAUCUAAAUCCCAUGUCACAUUCUAUUUCCUGGGACCCACUGAUAAUUAUUACAUUUUGUAAAUGAUUUUUGUUUUACAAUUGUAAUAGUUUAUUUAAUGUUCAUGCUGGUGGGUUUGUCUUGUUUUUAGUGGAAUGAAAAACUGUUUUCCUUAAAAAACUCAGACACAGAAAGGUGAAGGACUGUGUAGUUUUCAUGUACGCUUCUAUUUAUUUUGGUUAUUGACAUUGUUUUUAUUCAGUUGAAAAAUGUUUUUCUUGUUAAAAAAAAAUUAUCAACAAUAAAUGUUGGUUUAAUUCACUA